rnacentral:rRNA from 1 species
GAUGAACGCUAGCGGCAGGCUUAACACAUGCAAGUCGAGGGGUAUUGGUUUUCGGACCAAGAGACCGGCGCACGGGUGCGUAACGCGUAUGCAAUCUACCUUUUGCAGAGGGAUAGCCCCAGAGAAAUUUGGAUUAAUACCUCAUAGUAUAGUACUUUGGCAUCAAGGAACUAUUAAAGUCACAACGGCAAGAGAUGAGCAUGCGUCCCAUUAGCUAGUUGGUAAGGUAACGGCUUACCAAGGCUACGAUGGGUAGGGGUCCUGAGAGGGAGAUCCCCCACACUGGUACUGAGACACGGACCAGACUCCUACGGGAGGCAGCAGUGAGGAAUAUUGGACAAUGGGCGCAAGCCUGAUCCAGCCAUGCCGCGUGCAGGAAGAAGCAUCUAUGGGUGUGUAAACUGCUUUUGUACGGGAAGAAACACUCCUACGUGUAGGAGCUUGACGGUACCGUAAGAAUAAGGAUCGGCUAACUCCGUGCCAGCAGCCG